rnacentral:rRNA from 1 species
UACGAAGGGGGCUAGCGUUGCUCGGAAUUACUGGGCGUAAAGGGCGCGUAGGCGGAUGUUUAAGUCGGGGGUGAAAGCCCGGGGCUCAACCUCGGGUCGGCCGUGCGGACUGGCGUGCUCGAGCACUGUAGGGGCGGGUGGAAUUCCGGGUGUAGCGGUGGAAUGCGUAGAGAUCCGGAAGAACACCGGUGGCGAAGGCGGCCCGCUGGGCAGGAAGGCUCGCAAGAACCGGCUGACGCUGAGGCGCGACAGCGUGGGGAGCAAACAGG